UACGUAGGGGGCAAGCGUUGUCCGGAAUCAUUGGGCGUAAAGAGCGUGUAGGCGGUCCGGUCAGUCGGUUGUGAAAGUCAAGGGCUCAACCCUUGAAUGCCGGCCGAUACUGCCGGGCUAGAGUCCGGAAGAGGUGAGUGGAAUUCCUGGUGUAGCGGUGAAAUGCGCAGAUAUCAGGAGGAACACCGAUGGCGAAGGCAGAUCUCUGGGCCGUAACUGACGCUGAGGAGCGAAAGCAUGGGGAGCGAACAGG
rnacentral:rRNA from 1 species